ACGAAGGGGGCUAGCGUUGUUCGGAUUUACUGGGCGUAAAGCGCACGUAGGCGGAUUGGUCAGUUAGGGGUGAAAUCCUGGAGCUCAACUCCAGAACUGCCUUUAAUACUGCCAGUCUCGAGUCCGGAAGAGGUAAGUGGAACUCCUAGUGUAGAGGUGGAAUUCGUAGAUAUUAGGAAGAACACCAGUGGCGAAGGCGGCUUACUGGUCCGGUACUGACGCUGAGGUGCGAAAGCGUGGGGAGCAAACAGGA
rnacentral:rRNA from 1 species